CAGUAGCCGCGGGAAUACGAGGGGGGCAAGUGUUAUUCGGAAUUAUUGGGCGUAAAGGGUGCGUAGGCGGCCCCGCAAGUCUCAUGUGAAAUCUUCAGGCUCAACUUGAAGUCUGCAUGGGAAACUGCGGGGCUGGAGUAUGGGAGAGGUGAGUGGAAUUCCUGGUGUAGAGGUGAAAUGCGUAGAUAUCAGGAGGAACACCUGUGGCGAAAGCGGCUCACUGGACCAUUUCUGACGCUGAUGCACGAAAGCUAGGGGAGCAAACAGGAUUAGAUACCCCAGUAGUCCCUGUCUCUUAUAA
rnacentral:rRNA from 1 species